rnacentral:rRNA from 1 species
UACGUAGGAGGCAAGCGUUGUCCGGAAUUACUGGGCGUAAAGGGCUCGUAGGCGGCCAACUAAGUCAGACGUGAAAUCCCUCGGCUUAACCGGGGAACUGCAUCUGAUACUGGAUGGCUUGAGUUCGGGAGAGGGAUGCGGAAUUCCAGGUGUAGCGGUGAAAUGCGUAGAUAUCUGGAGGAACACCGGUGGCGAAGGCGGGUCUCUGGGCCGAUACUGACGCUGAGGAGCGAAAGCAUGGGUAGCGAACAGG